UUGCUCGAUAGUGUUCGCGUUGUUGUGAAGCCGCAGGGCUGGUAAGCGCAAAGCCAGCACCUCGCUAUGAGCAA
rfam:Chlorobium chlorochromatii CaD3, complete genome.